rnacentral:rRNA from 1 species
UACGUAGGGGGGCGAGCGUUGUCCGGAUUUAUUGGGCGUAAAGAGCUCGUAGGCGGUUCGUCGCGUCGGCCGUGAAAACCUACUGCUUAACAGUGGGCUUGCGGUCGAUACGGGCGGGCUAGAGUUCGGUAGGGGAGACUGGAAUUCCUGGUGUAGCGGUGAAAUGCGCAGAUAUCAGGAGGAACACCGGUGGCGAAGGCGGGUCUCUGGACAGUUCCUGACGCUGAGGCACGAAGGCCAGGGGAGCAAACGGG